AAAAAAAAAAACAGUGUGGUCAGAAUGUCCUUGUUCUCAGCCAAGUCCACUUCUCUGUGUCAAUGUCUGGCAGGCAUGUUACAGCAAUAUAAAAUAUGAAAUGUGAAAUAGCUGGCAGGCAUGGAACAAAAUGACUAAACCUAUUCUAGGGAUGUGUCAGAUCAUAACAUUUAUGAUCAUUUGUAGUUGGAACAAUUUUAAUCCAUAUUUUUAAUAUAACAAUUUCAUGUGUUGUUUAGGGACACAGGUUCUGUAAUUGGAGAAUUAGUAGUCCUCUCUCUUACCACUUAUGAGACUUUUGUUAAGUUCUCUUCUUUCUUACUGUUUUGGUUUUCCAACUAUAAAGUCUGUAUAAGUGUAACACGUCCUUCAUAAAGUUGUGGGAAGGCAAUGAGCUGAUUCAGUCAGUGUUUGUUACAGUACCGAGACAUAGCAAGCACCACACAACUGUGGCUACCACUGUCUGGAUGAAGAAUUGAAGGCCCGGGAUGUAAGAGCUUUGCCCAGUGUCUCCUAGCAGUGUAGGGGGUAGAACCAAAGUAGUCUUUUUUUUUUUUUUUUUUUUGGUUCUUUUUUUCAGAGCUGGGGACCGAACCCAGGGCCUUGCGCUUCCUAGGUAAGCGCUCUACCACUGAGCUAAAUCCCCAGCCCCGAACCAAAGUAGUCUUAAGCUGACUGAUCCCAAGGUCAUCUGUCUUUAAUGUUAGCAGGCACUAACCUGUGUCAUAAUAACACUGACCAAGUCAGGCAGGGUGCAGGCCAGAUUCUCUAAGUAACUUAUGGUAUGACCUUGGGGAGACUCUGUCCCUUGUAUAAAGUACCAUUUCCCUACUUCUAAGAAGCCAGUUUUGUUUACAGUGAGGGUCUGGGUGAGGUAACCUCUAAGGUCCCAUCCACUUCCUAUCUUCCAGGAAGCAUUUCCAGACAUUGAAUUCUGUUGAACAGUGACUAUAUGGUCAAUGCCAUCGCUACCACAUACAGUUUUAUGAAACAGAAACAGUUCUGUUUGUGUCUUCCUCGUAUAUUACUUCGGCUCGGUAUUACAGGAUAUUUGAUCACACUUUGUGGAUCCUGAUCUUAUUACUUACUGAAAAACCUGUUUCUAGUUGUGGUAUCAUUCAGCCCUUGGCACACACCUUUAAUCCCUCUGGCAGGAAUACAGACACCCACUUAGUACAUACCUCUAACCCAAACAAUGAAGGUAAAGUUAGUUUGUAGAAGGAAGCACCCAGGCUGGAGAGAUGGCUCAGCGGUUAGAAGCACUGUCCCUUCUUCCUGAGAUUCUGAGUUCAAUUCCCAGCAACCACAUGGUGGCUAUAACUAUCUGCAAGGGGAUCUGAUGCUCUCUUCUGGCCUGCAUAUGUAUAUACAGCAGAACACUCAUACAAUAAAUGAAUAAAAAUGGCUUAAAAAUAAAAAAGGAAGCACCCAUGUUUGAAAAUGUCCAAUUGAGUGAGAGACAAAGUGAUGAAUCAGAGAAAGAUAUUGACAGAAUAGGAUAUGCCCAACUCUCGCAAGGGGGUGGGGUGUACUUGAGGGGCUAAGCAGAGACGGAGAGGAAGGAAGGAGGCAGUUUUAUCAGGAGAGUUUCACUGAGACAGGCUGAAGAGAGAACAAGCUUGACACAGGUGAAGACAAAGGACCAGAGAAUGAGAAGGAACCAGAAGAUUAGAACAGAUUGCCAAGUUGUUCUGAGAGAGAACUAGAGUGAAGGGAACUAGAAACUGAGAGAAGCUAGAGUGAAUCAGUCAGCUUGGAAAGUUCCAAGCCCGAACAUCUGAGUUGGCCAGCCAGCCAGAGAUCAGAAAGAACUAAAAAGGGGGUGAGCAUCUUCAGCGGUAAGACCCAGGGGCUAAGGACAUUCUAGGCCUAAAUUGGAUUGUACAGAGGCUAGAAGCUGUAAGAGAUUAGCAGACUGAGGCAGUUAGCCUCAGAGACAAUUAACUCAGGAGAGUAAAACAAUACUUUACAGCUCCGAUGGUAUAAAUCCGAGGAGGAGAAAAAGCAGAGGCUACUUUUAGGACAAAGGUUGUGGAACUAGUUAAAUGGAUUAUUUUCUAUGUACAUUUCUUAGUGUUUCUAUGAUGAACAUGCAUUUCUUUCAUAAUCUGAAGAAAGUAACACUUUAAAAUAAUCCCAGCAUGGAGGGACAUGGUGGCACAUCCCUGCAAUCCCAGCACUUGGGAAGUAGAGACAAGUAGUUCAAGGUCAUCUUCAGCUAUGUAGCGGGUUCAAGGCCAACCUGAGUUACUUUAGACCCUGUCUCAAUUUUUCAUGAACUCCAACAACCCCUGUGGCACUAAGGACACUCCAGGUCUUGGUUUCUAAUGUCCCACCACCCUGGAAAAAAACAAAGAAAAACCAAGGUUUCUGGAGAAGCAGCGGACUCUAGCACUGUGCAGGAAACAUGUAAGAGAGCCUGGAACCAGAAAAUUAGGAAAUGUCCUCAAAUCCAGAAGGUCCUUUAAUAAUGGAGUGAAGUCUGAGGAGACACAGGAGCCAAUAAAAGAGCUCCUAGUAGACACAGAAAAUUGUGAAGAAAACACGAAAUGGUAUAGCUGUACUAUCCAAAGGAUAAAAUUAAUAUCCAUGAGCUCAUAGAGAUAAUUGAAUAAGUACAUGGUAAGAAGAGAAAAAUCGGGCUGGAGAGAUGCCUCAACAGUUAAGGGUACUGACUGCUUUUCCAGAGGACCCGGUUCAAAUCCCAGCAUCCACAUGGCAGCUUGAAAUUGUCUGUUACGGGGUUGGGGAUUUAGCUCAGUGGUAGAGUGCUUGCCUAGCAAGUGCAAGGCUUUGGGUUCAGUCCCCAGCUCCGGGGGAAAAAAAAAAAAAGAAAAGGAAAUUGUCUGUUACUUCAAGAUCUGACAACUCCACACAGACAAGCAGGCAAAACACCAAUGCACAUAAGAUGGAAAUAAAUAAUUUUUAAAAAUUUUUACAGAACAAUCCAAGUAAUUUAUGAGAGCAGGGAGGUGGUGGCACACGCCUUUAAUCCCAGCACCCAGGAGGCAGAGGCAGGUGGAUCUCCUAAGUUUGAGGUCAGCUGGGUCUACAGAGUGAGUCCCAGGAUGUUGUGGUUGGCCUGGACUUAUCUGUAUUUUGAUGCUAAUUCCACUGCCCCAAGGACAGCUGCCUAGUCACUACUUAGGAAUCAGGUGACUUCACCAGAACCUUCUCCCCAUUUAAUUUGUAAAAUACAGGUGAGGGCAGGUACAGGAUAGAAGGAGGCCUGUCAUUGGAUGAGAAGGAAGGAUGGGCAGGAGAAGAGUUUGAAGGAAGAGGAGGAGACGGGAGCAGAGGAGGAAUAGAGUAGAUGGUAGACAACAUGGAUGGUGACGUUAAGAUUCCACUCUGUGUAUUUACAGGUUGUUAUUAAUGUUCUUAAGGGAUGGAUGGAACUGGGCUUUGUAUGUUUAGGUGGGCAAUUAUAUCUUAUUAAUUGGGUCAAAGGUUAUUGUGUUGUAUGUUCUUUCAUGUGUAGAUUUAAGUGUAAUGGAGUGUGGGGUGGCUGGUCUGGGCCACCAUGGAGUUGGGAUAUGUGUUUCUGGCAUGGAAACCUGCCGUGGGAACUAGAUAAGAGAUUGCUGCCAGGCUCAGAGAGAGGCCUUCAGCAGUGUGAUAUGGGAUGGAGCAGAGCUGAUGAGAGGCUUUGCUGACUGAGUUUUAAGAUAUCUAUCAGGUAUCAUGGGGCACCAUAGUGCCAGAUCUUGAGUGGGAUAAAAGACAGUUUUUAUUUAUUUUUUUUUUUAAUUUUUUUUUUUUCCGGAGCUGGGGACCGAACCCAGCAGUUUUUAUUUUUUAUAUUUUACAACAACACCAGGAUGGCCAGGGCUACCCAGAGAAACCCUGUCUCAAAAAACAGAAAGUAAUUUUUGUGGAGACUUGGCCUCCCAUUAAGCGGGAGCAUAAGUGCCAUUCUUUCAGCAUGGGCCAUACAAAACUUUCUUUGAAAAAUGGCAAGUCCAGAGAAAGGACUUUACAACAGAGAGGCCUCCAAAGCACCACCUUGACCAGGUGAUCAAGGUCUACAUUAGCGAUGAUGUCAUAUUGACCUGUUCUCUUGCUGUGAUGUGAUGUGAUGCUUUACCUUUGUGAUGUGCAACAUGGUUCUGAAAACCUGACCUGGAUGACAGGAGAAAAGAGAGAGGACUAACACACAAGAGACACAUGCAGAAAAGCUGGGAUCAGGACAGAAGAGUAGCAGAGGCCAAGGGAGCAGCCAUUUCUUUUUCCAGAAGAGAACGAGGGUAACAAUGGAAAACUCUCCACGUAAACUGCCUACUUACAGAAACUGCACAGCAAAAACCUAUUUGUGUUCAAGUAAAUGGGAUUGAUGUUUGCA